GGGGAAUAUUGCACAAUGGGCGAAAGCCUGAUGCAGCAACGCCGCGUGAGGGAUGACGGCCUUCGGGUUGUAAACCUCUUUCAGUAGGGAAGAAGCGAAAGUGACGGUACCUACAGAAGAAGCACCGGCUAACUACGUGCCAGCAGCCGCGGUAAUACGUAGGGUGCGAGCGUUGUCCGGAAUUAUUGGGCGUAAAGAGCUUGUAGGCGGUUUGUCGCGUCUGCCGCGAAAAUCCGGGACUCAACCCCGGACCUGCGGUGGGUACGGGCAGACUAGAGUGUGGUAGGGGAGACUGGAAUUCCUGGUGUAGCGGUGAAAUGCGCAGAUAUCAGAGGAACACCGAUGGCGAAGGCAGGUCUCUGGGCCACUACUGACGCUGAGAAGCGAAAGCGUGGGGAGCGAAC
rnacentral:rRNA from 1 species